GUCCUCUUGAUUAAUAAAUUAUUUGAGGUCUGGCCUGCUCACUGAUAUAUUAAAUAGCCGCGGUAUUUUAACCGUGCAAAGGUAGCAUAAUCAUUAGUCUCUUAAUUAGGGGCUGGAAUGAAUGGCUUGACGAGAAAUCGACUGUCUCUUAUUAAAUUUUAAAAUUUAACUUUUAAGUUAAAAGGCUUAAAUUUAUCUUUAGGACGAGAAGACCCUAUAGAGCUUAACAUUUUAUUUUUAUGUAUUUUUUAGUUAAUUUUUUUAUAUAUAAUGUCAAUGUUUUGUUGGGGUGACAUGAAGAAUAAAUAAACUCUUCAUUAUAAAAUCAUUGAUUUAUGUUAAUAAAAAUGAUCCAUAAUUUAUGAUUAAAAGAUUAAGUUACCUUAGGGAUAACAGCGUAAUUGCUUUUGAGAGCUCAUAUCAACAAAGCAGAUUGCGACCUCGAUGUUGGAUUAAGAAAAAUGUUGGGUGCAGUAACUCAAUAAUUUGGUCUGUUCGACCUUUAAAUUCUU
rnacentral:rRNA from 1 species